GGAGUUGCGAACGGGUGAGUAACGCGUAGGUAACCUGCUUGGUAGCGGGGGAUAACUAUUGGAAACGAUAGCUAAUACCGCAUAACAGUGCUUACUGCAUGGUAAGUGCUUGAAAGGUGCAAGUGCACCACUACCAGAUGGACCUGCGUUGUAUUAGCUAGUAGGUAAGGUAACGGCUUACCUAGGCGACGAUACAUAGCCGACCUGAGAGGGUGAUCGGCCACACUGGGACUGAGACACGGCCCAG
rnacentral:rRNA from 1 species